UCACGAACACCAUGUUCAAGCACAAGGGUGUCCAUAAGUGCACAUGGCACAAGGACACCCUGAGCUGGAGGUCGAUGAUCGACUUUGCAGUCGUGUCAUCUGACCUUCGUCUACAUGUCUCGGACAUUCGGGUGAAGAGAGGGGCUGAGCUGUCGACCGAUCACCACCUGGUGGUAAGUUGGAUCUGCUGGGAGGGGAGGAAGCCGGUCAGACCUGGCAG